UACGGGGGGGGGCAAGCGUUGUUCGGAAUUACUGGGCGUAAAGGGCUUGUAGGUGGCCAACUAAGUCAGACGUGAAAUCCCUCGGCUUAACCGGGGAACUGCGUCUGAUACUGGAUGGCUUGAGUGUGGGAGAGGGAUGCGGAAUUCCAGGUGUAGCGGUGAAAUGCGUAGAUAUCUGGAGGAACACCGGUGGCGAAGGCGGCAUCCUGGACCAUAACUGACACUCAGGGACGAAAGCUAGGGGAGCGAAUGGG
rnacentral:rRNA from 1 species